rnacentral:misc_RNA from 1 species
UUUCCGUAGGUGAACCUGCGGAAGGAUCAUUACUAACGUAUCCACGUAUAAACCCAAAACAGUUGAUUUUUAUUCGAAAACAUAUUCGUCCGUUAGGCUGGGAAUGAGUUGAUUUGGAGAUGUUUCUAUCUAUAUGAGAGAAAAUGUACAUCUCUGGUUGACUUCGGGCCUUCACGGGCUUACCCUACCCAGUUCGCGAAUUAAAAUAUAUCAAAAACAUUAAACUCAUAUUUUAACCCAUUUCACCCUAUUCUUUUAAAUGAACUUAACCUGAAUUCAUUAGAAAUAAUGAGUUUUAAAAAAUACGAAAUUAAGAACAACUCUUAACAACGGAUAUCUUGGCUCUC